GCCUAGUUAGCUUGGAGGCUAGCGCGUCUGCAUUGUAAGCAGGAGGUCGCGCGUUCGAUUCCCGCGCGAGGCG
rnacentral:tRNA from 1 species